CAAGACAUGAAGUUAGGUCAGCAAACCCGCUGAAUUUAAGCAUAUAAGUAAGCGGAGGAUAAGAAACUAAAUAGGAUUCCCUCAGUAAUGGCGAAUGAACAGGGAUAAGCUCAGUAUGGAAAUUGGGGCCUCUGGCCUUGAAUUGUAGUCUUGAGAUGGCAUUGCCAGCGGAGGCGCAGAUGUAAGCCUAUUGGAAAAUAGCAUCAGUGAGGGUGAGAGUCCCGUUUGUCAUCUGCAGUCCCCCGUGCACGGUGUGCUUUCUAAGAGUCACGUUCCUUGGGAUUGGAGCGCAAAUUGGGUGGUAAAUUUCAUCUAAAGCUAAAUAUUGGUUCGAGACCGAUAGCAAACAAGUACCAUGAGGGAAAGGUGAAAAGGACUUUGAAAAGAGAGUUAAAAGUGCCUGAAAUUGCUGAAAGGGAAGCGAAUGGAACCAGUCUUCUUGGUGAGAUUGGUGCACGCUAUGGUGAUUGCCUGCUGCUUCAACGCAAGUGUUGCAGUGGGUUUUGAUCUUGACGUGUGUGCUGCUUCUUACCUCGUGUGUCAACGUCGGUUCGGAAUUGAGGAAAACUCUAGGGACAUGGUAUCUCUGUUGCGGCGGAGUGAAUGUGCCUGGUAGAACUCAUUUCUUAACUGAUUUCUGCAUGUCUGGUCGCAGUGUUUCAUUACCUGUGUCUGGUUCUGCGCUUGUAGCUUCUGUUGCAAGUUGUGGUUCUGGGCCUGGUCGUGGAGCAUCUCCCUGACAUUAGUACGAUGACAAAAUGGUUUCAUUCGACCCGUCUUGAAACACGGACCAAGGAGUCUAACAUAUGUGCAAGUUCAUGGGUGUUAAACCUAAUUGCGCAAUGAAAGUGACUGCUGGGAUAUUUGCACCAGCAACCGACCAAUCAAUUGUGAGAGGUUUGAGUAUGAGCAUAUCUGUUAGGACCCGAAAGAUGGUGAACUAUGCGUGAGAAGGGUGAAGUCAGGGGAAACUCUGAUGGAGGCUCGUAGCGAUACUGACGUGCAAAUCGUUCGUCAUACUUGCGUAUAGGGGCGAAAGACUAAUCGAACCAUCUAGUAG
rnacentral:rRNA from 1 species